UCCCUGGUGGUCCAGUGGUUAGGAUUCAGUGCUCUCACUGCUGUGGGCCCUGGUUAGAUCCUUGAUCAGGGAG
rnacentral:tRNA from 1 species